GACAGAGGUCCCGAGCGUUAGGCGGAAUCACUGGGCUUAAAGCGUGUGUAGGCGGAGUGCUAAGUACCUUGUGAAAUCCCACGGCUCAACCGUGGAACUGCUUGGUAUACUGGUUCUCUUGAGCCACCUAGGGGCAACCGGAACAAACGGUGGAGCGGUGAAAUGCGUAGAUAUCGUUUGGAACGCCAAUGGUGAAAACAGGCAACUGGGGAUGUGCUGACGCUGAGACACGAAAGCCAGGGGAGCAAACGGG
rnacentral:rRNA from 1 species